UUCCAGGUAUAGUAUUAUGCUUGCUUAUAAGUUACUCUUUGUGUUUGUCACAUCGUUAGUUUAUUAAAGACAAAAGAUCAAAUUUUACAAUUGUGAAUUGGUGGAUUUGGAUUCAGUUUUAUUAUAAAACAGUCAAAUAAACAAAAUUAGCUACCGAGUAGGGUCAGUGUGUUGACAGUUAACCUAAAUUCUAUUUACAGUUAAUCAUAAUCGACACAUUAGUUAUUUAUAACUUUUUAAAUGACCACAAGGGAUCGGAGAAACAUUCGGAAGAGUAACAAUUGAAGCAAUGGCAUUUGGUAUACCGGUGCUUGGAACUGAUGCAGGAGGUACAAAAGAGACUGUUGAACACAAUGUAACUGGUCUUCUGCAUCCCAUUGGGCACCCAGGAACCCCUGUUCUUUCCAAACACCUUCGGUA